GUCUUUUUGCCAUUUCUAGGGCCCCUCCUGCAGCAUAUGGAGGUUCCUAAGCUAGGGGUCUAAUCGGGGCUGUAGCUGCCAGCCUACGCCAGAGCAAAAGCAAUGUGGGAUCCGAGCCACGUCUGCAACCUACACCACAGCUCACAGCAAUGCUGGAUCCUAAACCCACUGAGCAAGGCCAGGGAUCAAAAUGGACAGCUCAUGGAUACUAGUCGGAUUCAUUAACCACUGAGUCAUGAUGGGAACUCCCUGAACAAAUUCUAUAAAAUCUGUACUCUUUGUCACAUGUGGCUACUGAAGUGUCUGCUUGCUUUGCUUAGCAGUCAGCUAAUAGCUGGACAAUUUGGACAGAGAUUUCCUUGAAUAAGUCAAGGAAACAAUAAGUCUCUCAGACUUUGCUGAAGGGGCAUCAGGGCUCCCUUCAACUCUGCCUUGGCCUUCAAUUCUUCCUUGUACAGAGUUCAAGGUCAGCCCGAGGUUAGGGGUUAGGGCCUUCUCAGACUUUUCCUGGGUGUGUGCCCACCCUUGUGCAUACACGUGGCUUUCUAGAUUCCCAGCAGUGAGCUGACACUUCCUGCUCUGAUGCCUGUCAAGUUGCUGUUUUUCAUGGCUAUUGCGACCGGCAUGCACUGAUUUUCAGGCCACUACGCUGUUGGGAGGAGGGAUGGAGUAGGCAAGUUAAGAUACUGUAAAGCUCCCGGUUCCAAGGACUCAGCCAUUUGAUUGAACUAACUAUUUUCAAAUUGUUGGAGGCCUUAGAUGAAUUUCCAGAGUUCUAAAAAAAAGGUGGGUUUUGACACGUUCUGCAAGCAUUCUUGCUUUUGUGGAGCAGCAGGGUUUGGGAGGUCCUAACUCCACCAUCCCGGGAAAUGCUUUUCUUCAGUCUUUAAAAAUUUCUCUCUCAGUUGAAGUAAAACCUGACAACCUUCCUUGCAAUAUCUGUGAGCUGCCGGGUGGGUUUUGUUCGCAUCUGUUCCCUUCAGUGAGGGUGUGUGGGGACCACGGCUUUAUGCAGAAGCGUCGGUCCAAACACGUGCCCCUUAGGUGCCUACAGGCUUCCCCCCUCCUGGGAGCCCAUUUCGAGGCCUUUUACACCAAGACCAGCAUCUGGGAGCCAGCCCUGGGGCCGCCCCAGCGUUAGCUCACUUUGGUGACCAUCUGGGGUUGUGUUGCUCAUCUGGGGCCCCUGAAAAUUUCCACUACUCCUCUGCAAGCUCAGCUCUCCAUCUAAAAGGUGUGCAUCUUACGUGCCGGCAUUUCUAAGCUGUAUUUUUUUUUUUUUAAGCAGGAGUGUUCUCAGGUUAUCAUGACCGGACUCUUCCCGGGAAAAAGGGACACCCUCUAGGUAAACACUCACAUAAACACACACGUCUAGCUAACGGAACGCAACAGGGAGAAGCAAGGACCGCCCAGAAGCCGUGGUGAAGACGGACAGCAUGAGGGUCUUGCAAGCAGAGGAGCGAGUCUGACCUGGGCCCACGGGUCUCCAGGACCGCUUCGUCCACCUCUGGCCCCCACUGGAGGCUUAAUGUGGGGGAGGGAGUGUUGAGGGUGCAGCUACAGCCAGGACUAAGGGACCCUCUGUAGGCCCAGACUCUCUGUCCACCCACGCAGGGACCUAGUCUUCCUGCAGCAGCAGCCAGGAGCCUCCGGGACAUCCUAAGGCCCCAGGAACCUCCUCCUGGCAGCACUCAGAACUAGUGGCAGGUGCAUAGACCAAAGUUCUGUGGGAAGAAUGUCUGCUCACUACAGCAGGUGCCAGGAGAUGUUCAAGGAAGAGUUAGAGACUGAAUGUUUGUCCCCCGGCCCCAAAACAAAGCAGCAUAUGGUGGGAUCCGAAACCCCCGGGGAUGGCAUCGGAAUGCGAGGUCUCUGGGAGGUCAUGAGGUCAUGAGGGUUGAAGGUGCAGCUCGGAUCCAGUGUUGCCGUGGCUGUGGUGUAGGACUGCAGCGGUAGCUCCGAUUCAACCCCUAGCCCGGGAACUUCCUAUGCCACGGGCGCAGCCAUAAACAUUUUUAAAAAGGGGACUCCAGAGAGCUCUCCCACCUCCUCCUCCACGUGAGGGCGCAGGGAGAAGGCGGUCUGUGACCCAGGCGGUGUGUCCUCACCCGACACCGAAUCUGCGGACACCUUGACCUCGGCCUCAGACUGUGCAGAUUGCUGGCCGGGAGGCUCCCUGGACGGUACAUGAAGUCAAGGGCAACUGGAAGCAAUUCUCUGGAGAAGGAGGCUGCCCGGAUCUGGAUGGUGUGGCACGUGGGAGGACCGGAGGAUCCAUGGUCAGAGGCGACGUGGUCCACGACUCCUUAGUGGGAUUUGAUCGCAAGGAGCAGGUGCAAAGACGUGUGUACUGGGAUGCCCACCGCAGCGCUGGCCGUCACUGCAGGAAGUUACCCACUCUCUGGAGGCCAAGUGGAUCACUUCAGGUAAGCCCACACUCAGAAAACCCCGCAUUUGCCCGUCAUUCUGCGGAGAUGUUCGUGGGCUCCUGCGAGGUGACAGUGAAUCGGGAGGGUGUUCACGUGGGGUCCUGCCGCCUGGCUCCCUUCCAGCUCAGCCACAGGUCAGGGGGCCCGAUCCAGGGCAUUAGAGCCACCUGACAAAGCUGCAGACCUUGGGCUGUUUCAGAGGGGCCCCUGGGCUUUCUGGGGACAUCAAGCUUUCCCUGUGCCCCGUCUCCAGCAGCCACUCUGCCGCAAUCUUGGGGGAGGACCCUGGCUGUGGCUGCAUGCACAGGGCGGGGGCUGAAGGCGAGGGGACCUGAGCCCUGGAGUUCGGCCCACAGCUCAGUCUCCUGGCUGCCCCCACCCAGUGACCCCAAGCCCGCCACCUGCAACCGCAUCCCCUGGCGGUGGGUGUGCUGCUCCCCACCCCAUCCCCAACACAGACCUCUGUAAUCGACCAGGUCGAGGCUGAGGGGGAAAUGCCGCAAGUCAGAGAGCCAGUGUGUGGGGUGAGCAGACAACUGGGGGGUGACAUGGCUCCUGUCCCAGGGCCCCCGCUCCAUGCUGCUCCUUCCCCCCGCCAUGCUGGAAACUGCUGCCUUGUCCCUGGGGUCUCAGCUCACUGGUGACACCCUGACCACGGGAUUUAACCCGUCCUUCAGCCCAGUCUGUCCAUUUCUUCACAGCACACUCCUGCUCUGACACCCUCUGGACGGGUAGUUGUCAUCCCCCUCCCCCGCCCAGUGUCCCCAGCUCACUCAGCCCCACUGGAGACCAGGCCCUCGGGAGAGUUGGGGGAUGGUGGAGGGUGUGGGGGACCCCGGCCUCGCCCCCACUGUCUUUUCAACAACAUCCCUGAGGCCUCGGCCACCGGAGGACGCAGGCAGGGAAGGAGGUUGGUCCUGCGCUGUGGGCCAGAUGGGGAGCAGUGCUGUCCCCGCGUGCAGACCCGGUCCUGGGCACCCGGCCUCCGCCUCGCUCCCGGGCCUCUCGGUCGGCGUGGCCAGCUAACCGAGCUUGCUGAUAGCUUGGGAACGUGGUGAUAAGGGCUGAGCAUGGGGAAUGGUUACCUCCUGGCUCUUGUGAGAAUCACCAGGGUGGCUGUUUCAAGUGUCUGCCCCCAAUUUUCCAGCGGUCCCUCCCUUGGGAGUCUGGGCAGACAGGCAGGGGCGCGGCGGCGAAGGGGGCCGCUUUCCAUUUUUAGGUUGAAUUCCUUUCUGGAAAGCUGCAGGCAUGUCUCUGGCAUGAGUGCCCCGGGGCUGGGGGUGUGCAGCACUCUCCCUGGCCGGGCCCCCCGUGGCUCACGUUCCUCCUUGUCUGCCUCCUUCAGCCGGGAACGGGUGAGUGCCUGGACCCCAGGGUGCCCUGCGUUUGAGGCUCCCAUGAGGGAAACACCAGCCACGAACAUCCCACACCACGGAGCUCAGGACCGCCAGCAAGUGCCUGAGGUGGGCACAUGCAGGUGGGAUGGCUGGGUUCGCAAACGCAAAAUCAGGAUGCCCAGUGAGAUCUGAAUUUCAGAGAAACGGGGAGUGCUUCGUGCCAGCGAGCCCCCCGGCGUGCGCAGUCCCGCCUCGCCAGCGGAGGCUGAUGUCAGAGAAGCUGCCCCUGGGCACGCUGGGUAAGUGGCCACACGGGUGAACGCUGGGGGGCAAGCUCAGGGGAUGCCCCCAAAGGCGUGGCUCUAGAUGCACUGUCCAGAGACUGCCACGGGCGCCAGCCUGAACCCGCAAGUCCAGCCACGCAGCCACCAGCCGCAUGUGGCUACUGCCCACUGGCCUGGGGCACUGAGCCUUUCAUUCUACUGUGUGUCAGGGAACAUGGUCACAGGAGGCUGUGGCCAAGUCACUGGGCAGCACAGGUGUAGGGGUGGUCCCGGAGGCCCCUCUGAGCUUUUGUGCAGACAUCUGGAAAUCUGGAGGAAAUUAUCUCCCAACUGGGGAGAUGAAGCCCCCCCCAACCCUGAGGAACUGGGGGAAGGCCAGUGAGGGGACCAGGGGGCAGGGGAGGGAGACAGGAGGGGACAGCAGGCAGGUCCAGCCCCCCUCAGGCCACUGGACACAGUCUGGACGUGCAUUCUAUUCCUAGUAAUGGGUCAAGCGGUAACUCCACAAGCUGUUCUGGGCAUUUUCACCGUCCUUCCGGCUGUGGCUUCGCCCUGCCUGUCUGGUGCAGCGGGUUUGAUUGAUUGCUUGCUGUGCCCACCGACCCAGCUGCCGUGUCCUGAUCCCCGAGAUGGUCGUCAGCCUGAAAGUCCCAGAGAAGGGGACUUGGGGAGGAGGUUUCUUGGCACCAGGCCAGGAAACCCCAGGGGUGGGAGGCGCCAGGCUCUCUGCUCAGACCCCCCACCCACCCCCCGCCCCCCGCCAGACUGCAGACCCUCCAUUCUGCUCUGCGCUGGGCAGCUCCUCCCAGGUACCCUGGAAGGUCUCCCUCUUGACAGGGUGACAGCGGUUAAAUCUCGUCCCCAGCCUGACACCCUGUAUCUGUUGCCAGUUACAGGAUCUGACACUGCUGGGGGACAGUGAGUCGAUGCAAUGAGUCUGAGAGACAGCCUCCCUCCUAGCCCAGGAUGCUGCAAGGCCUCUGCCACCCGAGCCGGGGGUGGACUCUGAAACGAGACGUGGCCUCUUUGAAAAGGAAGUUCUUUAAAUUCUCU
rnacentral:lncRNA from 1 species